rnacentral:rRNA from 1 species
GUUCGGUCCCUAUCCGCUGUGCGCGCAGGAGUCUUGAGAAGGGCUGUCCCUAGUACGAGAGGACCGGGACGGACGAACCUCUGGUGUGCCAGUUGUCCUGCCAAGGGCAUGGCUGGUUGGCUACGUUCGGGAGGGAUAACCGCUGAAAGCAUCUAAGCGGGAAGCCUGCUUCGAGAUGAGGACUCCCACCCACUUGAUGGGGUAAGGCUCCCAGCAGACGACUGGGUUGAUAGGCCGGAUCUGGAAGCACGGUAACGUGUGGAGGUGACCGGUACUAAUAGGCCGAGGGCUUGUCCUCAGCUG